rnacentral:rRNA from 1 species
GGGCCCGCACAAGCGGCGGAGCAUGCGGAUUAAUUCGAUGCAACGCGAAGAACCUUACCAAGGCUUGACAUGUGCCGGAAAAGUGCAGAGAUGUGCUCCCCGCAAGGUCGGUACACAGGUGGUGCAUGGUUGUCGUCAGCUCGUGUCGUGAGAUGUUGGGUUAAGUCCCGCAACGAGCGCAACCCUCGUCCUAUGUUGCCAGCACAUCAUGGUGGGGACUCAUAGGAGACUGCCGGGGUCAACUCGGAGGAAGGUGGGGAUGACGUCAAAUCAUCAUGCCCCUUAUGUCUUGGGCUUCACGCAUGCUACAAUGGCCGGUACAAAGGGCUGCGAUACCGCAAGGUGGAGCGAAUCCCAAAAAGCCGGUCUCAGUUCGGAUUGGGGUCUGCAACUCGACCCCAUGAAGUCGGAGUCGCUAGUAAUCGCAGAUCAGCAACGCUGCGGUGAAUACGUUCCCGGGCCUUGUACACACCGCCCGUCAAGUCACGAAAGUCGGUAACACCCGAAGCCGGUGGCCCAACUCGCAAGAGGGGGAGCCGUCGAAGGUGGGACUGGCGAUUGGGACU